rnacentral:rRNA from 1 species
UGGGGAAUAUUAGGCAAUGGGGGAAACCCUGACCUAGCCAUGCCGCGUGGGUGAAGAAGGUCCUAGGAUUGUAAAGCUCUUUCAGCAGGGAAGAUGAUGACGGUACCUGCAGAAGAAGCCCCGGCUAACUCCGUGCCAGCAGCCGCGGUAAUACGGAGGGGGCUAGCGUUGUUCGGAAUUACUGGGCGUAAAGAGCGUGUAGGUGGCUUAUUAAGUCAGAGGUGAAAUCCCCGGGCUCAACCUGGGAACUGCCUUUGAUACUGGUAAGCUAGAGUUCGGGAGAGGGUAGUGGAAUUCCCAGUGUAGAGGUGAAAUUCGUAGAUAUUGGGAAGAACACCAGUGGCGAAGGCGGCUACCUGGACCGAUACUGACACUGAGACGCGAAAGCGUGGGGAGCAAACAGGAUUAGAUACCCCCGUAGUCC